rnacentral:rRNA from 1 species
CGUACAAGGUUUCCGUAGGUGAACCUGCGGAAGGAUCAUUACCUAGAGUUGUAGGCUUUGCCUGCUAUCUCUUACCCAUGUCUUUUGAGUACCUUCGUUUCCUCGGCGGGUCCGCCCGCCGAUUGGACAACAUCCAAACCCUUUGCAGUUGCAAUCAGCGUCUGAAAAAACAUAAUAGUUACAACUUUCAACAACGGAUCUCUUGGUUCUGGCAUCGAUGAAGAACGCAGCGAAAUGCGAUAAGUAGUGUGAAUUGCAGAAUUCAGUGAAUCAUCGAAUCUUUGAACGCACAUUGCGCCCCUUGGUAUUCCAUGGGGCAUGCCUGUUCGAGCGUCAUUUGUACCUUCAAGCUCUGCUUGGUGUUGGGUGUUUGUCUCGCCUCUGCGUGUAGACUCGCCUUAAAACAAUUGGCAGCCGGCGUAUUGAUUUCGGAGCGCGGUACAUCUCGCGCUUUGCACUCAUAACGACGACGUCCAAAAGUACAUUUUUACACUCUUGACCUCGGAUCAGGUAGGGAUACCCGCUGAACUUA